CAGACACGGUGAUGACAUGAUUGUUACCCCUUUUGCACAGGUUCUGGCGAGUUUAAGAACUGUCCGGAAUAAUUUUGCUGCUUUAACAAAUGUACAACAGGAAAGGCCCAAUAACAAGAGAUCCCCCAUAUGUAACCCGCCUCCCAUCACAAAGACCUCCUACACAGGUGUC